rnacentral:rRNA from 1 species
GACGAACGCCGGCGGUGUGCUUAACGCAUGCAAGUCGAACGGUAAGGCACUUUCGGGGGUACACGAGUGGAGAACGGGUGAGUAACACGUGAGUAACAUGCCCUCAUCUCUGGGAUAACAGUUGGAAACGGUUGCUAAUACUGGAUAUGAGCCUGCAAGGCAUCUGGUGGGUUGGAAAGAUUUUUUGGUUGGGGAUGGACUCGCGGCCUAUCAGCUUGUUGGUGAGGUAGUGGCUCACCAAGACUUCGACGGGUAGCCGGCCUGAGAGGGCGACCGGCCACAUUGGGACUGAGAUACGGCCCAAACUCCUACGGGAGGCAGCAGUGGGGAAUAUUGCACAAGGGACGGAAGUCUGAUGCAGCAACGCCGCGUGCGGGAUGACGGCCUUCGGGUUGUAAACCGCUUUCAAUUGUGACGAAGCUUUUUGUGACGGUAGCAGUAGAAGAAGCACCGGCUAACUACGUG